rnacentral:tRNA from 1 species
GUUGUGGUUCAGUGGAAGAGUGCUCGCCUACACCAGUGAGGUGCUGGGUUCGAUCCUCAGCACAACA